AUCCAUUCCAGCAGGACCACACUUGGAGAGGUUACUUCUGCUCAGAAGCUGUGCUUUUUCCAAAGCUGCUCUCAGAUGCAAUCUGUUGUGUGUGAACAAGAUUGGAAAAGAGGCUUCCCACCCAGAGACAGUAGCCAACACAAAUGGAAGGGCUAUUUGUGCACAAUAAACCAUAAUGCAAAAGUGGGCUAUGACCAUUACACAAAUAGACCAUUCAAAGGAAACAGAUAUGGUUGAAGAUGAUGAAUGCUGAAGCUAGGCUCAGCACUGAACAGGAGAUUCUGGACGUUGUUCUUUAGACCCCUGUAAUAAAAAUUAUUUAUUCAGCACAUCAAUAAAUGUGAGGAAAUGAACUUGGGUCCUUGCGCUUGCACAGCAGGUGGCGAAACCACUGAGCCAAAUCCCAGGCCCGAGACAGGAUGAUUUUAUACUGCUCUCUGUGACAAUGGAAGGGACGUCAGCCAGGAAUCCAGCUGGCCUAGAAGCUGGAGAAGGAAAAGCUGGAAAAGACCAUCCUAUGGAGACCCCCAGAAGGAAUCCAGACCUGCUGACAUGUUGAAUUCAGCUUUGAAAAACCAUUUAGUUUUCUCGAGCUUAAAAUUUGUAAAAUAAUACAUUUGUAUUGUUUUAUGCCACUCUGUAUAUGGGAGUUUGUUACAGACUCAAUAAGAAAAGAAUAUGGUGUUAUAUUGAAUCAUCACUUCCCAACUCUUAUCAACUUGUUUAUUUUAGCCUACAAAGAUCCAUUUUAGACUUCUCACCCCAGUAUGAAAGAUGAUAAAUCUGUUUUAUUCUGUUAAAUUUGUAGUAAAAUGUUACAGUAAAAUUGGGGAAUUAAAUUAGAUUUUUAGUUAUCUACCCUUAGUUAUGCAGGAAAUUGGUCUUAUGGCUCUGCCAGGAAGUUCCCUCCUCAGUCAAUGCGGUUAACAAAGGGACUCAAUGAGACUGGCAUUGGCCAGUGAUAGUUCAUUCUUCCUGAGGCCUCCAUCUCUGCCAUUAUGGUCACUUUGUUCACAUGCCCAGUAUCCUUACUCUGGCUGGAUAACACAUAGGGCAUGUCAUUUUGUCUAUUUGGCUCUUCAACUUAGUAUCAAAAGACAAUUAUAACAAAUAAAUUAUAGAUUUAACUGGCUUUUAUUCAUAAUUCAUGAAUUGGCCCUGUCUCCAUUCUUGAGAGUUCCCACUGGACGCUAGCAGCAAGGUUUUGUAAGGUUUGAAUAAGGAAAACAAAUAAUAGAUUGAAAACCUGAUUGAUUAACAAUAGGUUACUUCAGUUUACUCUUUGUUGGUAAGGAAUAAAGCAGGAUAAUUUUCUUAUUACUCUAACUCAAGAGGGAUGGAAUCUCUUAUUUAUAGCAAAAUUAAUCUAUGUGGAGAAUUAUCUGAUACCUUGAAACUUCAGUUUGAUUAUUACCUUCUUGCAUGAGUUAUAUCAUUUUGGUUUGAUGUGGUUGUUGGAGCCUAGUUCAGGAGCUUAGUUCAUGUGGGUCUCCCCUAAUUCUUGGUUAGCAGAGCAAUGCAUUCUGGUGGGUGUUAAUACGUGAUGCUAUGUGCCCACUACCAUCCACCUACCCUUACAUCUCUACUCUAGACCUCCAGUCUCCUCUUCAUUUUUUUUUCUUUGUAGGAUUCUGAUCAUCUAGCUAUGUCAUUCUUUGUUGCCUGUAGGUCUUAUCUCAUAGAAUCUCUUUCUUCUACAUAGAGUGCCUGAUCAUAUAUCCCUUGCAAGCUCACUGCUGAUUGUGGCUGAAAAGCAGCUACUGUCUAUUUUUGGCUUGUACCGAAACACUGAGCAGGAGUUAUAAACCCUGGUCAAGUUCUUUACUUUUCCUUUAGCUGAUCAUCCAGGCCUCCUCCCUCUGAACACAGACACGACCUGAGGGCCACUUGUGAAACUGUGGUAGAUAACACCCAGGUCUGGGCUACCUAUACAUGCAGCUCUGCUCCUGCUCAGGCCUGACCUCAUAUGUAUCAUUUACACUGUACAUAGGAUACGGUUUGACCUGCCUCAAUUUCUGACUAAGUCCAACAGAACCCAAGUCAAGAUAUGAAAUUCAGGAUCCAUAGCCACUUAGUGUCCUGUGCACAGAGUGCUAAUUUUAAUAGGGAGGAGUAUGGCCUUGGGAAUGGGCAUCUAUUCAGAUGUAGUCAUGACAUGUUCCAGAGUCCUAGGUUUUUCCAUUUGUGGCCUUGACUGGGUUUUCUGCAGCUUGGAAAUUCAAACUUUUACAUUCUGAGUUUUAUCUUCACCAUUUUAUUUUCUUUAACUAUAAGGCAUAAAGCCUCUUUUCAAGCUGCCAAAAUGGCUCUCUGCUCAUCACACUUUAAAUUUUUUAUUCAGCUCACUGCUUUUCAUUAUUCUUAUGUAGGACAUCAAUGUGAUUUAGUAACACUCAGCCAGUUCUAUUCCUUUACAUGCAUUGCUCCCUUCCACACACACAAACCACCCCUUACUUUCACUUGAAGCAUUACACAGGUCAGUGUACUUCCUUCUGCCAGAGCAUUCUUUCAAAUUACCACCAGCAAAAGAUUAAGGCAGACUACACAGAGUACCAGAGAGGAUUGUGCUCCAUGCAUUACCUAGGAUCAAUCACUCGGCACCAAGUAAUCAGUGAAUGAUCCAAUCCCUUAACACUAUCUCUUCAUUUGGUUUCAUGCACAACUUCUUAUAGCAGGGCAUGAGAUCUAUGCAACCAUAUAGAGCCUACGCUUAGAAGAGUCCUAUGCUUGCUUUAAUGCUCUGCUGCUCUUGUCAGUGGAAAUUCUUAAUAACUUUUAAAUAAGGUUAUUUACAUUUUCAUUUUACACCAGGCUUCAUGAAUUAUGUAGCACUUUGUGACUAGUGUCAAAUUUGUUCUGUUUGCUUGUUAGUUUUGUUCUUGAGACAAGGUCUCACUUUGUAGUGCAGACUGGACUUGAACUCACUAUGUAGUCCAAGCUGGCUUUGAACUUGCAACAAUCCUCCUGCCUCCACCUCCUCAGUAUUGGAAUUGCAGGUUUGCACUACCACACCUGGCACUAGUAUCAGAUUUGUUAACUGGAUCCUCUCUGAAUCAGAUGCUCAGAUUAUUAGGAGUACAAGACCUUUAAAAGGGAAGAACCAAAGAAGGAAGAAGUAUAAGGAAAUUCUAUACUACCUUCUCAAAUAUUUGUAAUUUUAAAACUGUCUAAAAUUAAGAUCUAUUUUAAGCAGCAGAUAUGUGACAUUCAAAAGAAAUUUUGGUCAAAAUAAUGAUUAAAUUGAAAUAUAUUAAAAUACCCAAUCGAAUGCCUGGCAUAAAAAACAAGCUCAAUAAUGGUAUUUCCUU